UACGAGGGGGGCAAGCGUUGUUCGGAAUUAUUGGGCGUAAAGGGCGCGUAGGCGGUGCGGUAAGUCUGAUGUGAAAUCUCCGGGCUCAACUCGGAGUCUGCAUCAGAAACUGCCGUGCUCGAGUGUGGGAGAGGUGAGUGGAAUUCCUGGUGUAGCGGUGAAAUGCGCAGAUAUCAGGAGGAACACCAAUGGCGAAGGCAGCUCGCUGGGACGGUACUGACGCUGAGACGCGAAAGCGUGGGGAGCAAACAGG
rnacentral:rRNA from 1 species